UACGUAGGUGGCAAGCGUUGUCCGGAAUUAUUGGGCGUAAAGCGCGCGCAGGCGGUCCUUAAGUCUGAUGCGAAAGCCCACGGCUCAACCGUGGAGGGUCAUUGGAAACUGGGGGACUUGAGUGCAGGAGAGAAGAGUGGAAUUCCACGUGUAGCGGUGAAAUGCGUAGAGAUGUGGAGGAACACCAGUGGCGAAGGCGACUCUUGGCCUGUAACUGACGCUGAGGCGCGAAAGCGU
rnacentral:rRNA from 1 species